AGUGAACGCUGGCGGUAGGCCUAACACAUGCAAGUCGAACGGCAGCACAGUAAGCUCUUGCUCUUACGGGUGGCGAGUGGCGGACGGGUGAGGAAUACAUCGGAUUCUUCUUUUUCGUGGGUGAUUACGUAGGGAAACUUACGCUAAUACCGCAUAUGUCCUACGGGUGAAAUCAGUGGUUCAUCGGACCUUUCGCGUCUCAAUUAGCCGAUGUCGGAUUAGCUAGUUGGCUGGGUAAAGGCCCACCAAGGCGACGAUCCGUAGCUGGUCUGAGAGGAUGAUCAGCCACACUGGAACUGAGACACGGUCCAGACUCCUACGGGAGGCAGCAGUAGGGAAUAUUGGACAAUGGGCGCAAGCCUGAUGCAGCAACGCCGCGUGAGUGAAGAAGGCCUUCGGAUUGUAAAGCCCUUUUAUUAGGGAAGAAAAGCAGCAGGUUAAUACCCCGCUGUGUUGACGGUACCCAAAGAGAAAGCACCGGCUAACUUCGUG
rnacentral:rRNA from 1 species